rnacentral:lncRNA from 1 species
GGAGAAUAAAUGAAGCAGUCUUAGACCUCAUCUCACUUCCCUCUCUGUAUGUAUGACAGAGAUUUGUGCAUGCCCCUUAUCAUCUCCUACCCUGAGUUCCUUUAGGUCAGGGUCAAUAUCAGAUUCUUCUGUGGUUCCCUCUCCCGAUGCCAGUUCUGCCAUCAGUUGGCACUUGGCAACUGAGAAUUCACUGCAAUUUUUCCUCGAGAAGAUGAGGAUCAGGUCGGGAAUUGGAAAUAUCUGAGGGCUAAAUUCAACCUGGCUUCUAAAAUGAACAUGGUGAAUAUAGAUCAACUACCAAACUUCUUUUAACCUCUGGCAUCCUAUCUGUGAAUUGGAGGUGAUAACCCUUCCCCAAAUGAGCAAAUACAGUUUAGUCAUAUUACAAAAGCCCCAUAGCAACCACAUGGAGGCUUAAUAUUUAAACAGAAUUGCAGGACUCUGUGACUGAAGCAAAAAGGGCUUUUAUUCCAUCCCUCUUUCUUCUUUUUUCAGAUUCUGAAAGGGAAUUACAUGUGUCCAUCUUUUUCCAGGGCUGAAUGAUCCUUACCAUGUCCAUUGAUUUACAUAAUUGCCCAAGUGCCUUAGAUUCCCGUAUAUUGCUUUUCUGUUAUGUAUUUUCUCAUCUCUGAUGGGAAUUCAGCUUUCUGCUUUAAACUUCUGUACAUGGGGAUUCUUCAGGGAAAAUAUCAUUUUAGGUGUUUGCAUUAAAGAAGUCCAAGAAGGGAGAAAACCACUCAGUCCAUUUUUCUCUGCAGAAUCUGGCUGUCCAUUAGCUGAUGUGGCUGUGGUGUGAGGAGAGAGAGGAGACUUGGAGGGGUCUGGGGAAGACCUCUCAUCCGUGAGAAAGCUCAUAGGCUUUGGUGCCAGAAAGACCCGGUUCAAAUCCUGGCUCUGCUGCACACCAAUGAUAUGACCUUGGUUGAGAAAGGCAGUCUCAUGCAUGUGGUCUUUUAACCUCUGCUCAGCCCCAUACAAAUGGCCUUGAGCCAAAAACACUUGCUUACCAAGAGAUAAAGAGCUCUCAUAGCUUGUGUUGGGCUUAUCGCCUUGUGUGGGAAUAUGUUUUUCCUGUUCCAGACUCAGUGUGUACUCUUUUGUUCUGCUUAAGCUUGUGCGUCAUGUGGCAGGCACCUGGCCAACCCCGCUGUUAUAUCUGUUCCAGGUGGGGAGGAAACAGGGUCCACCCCCUGCUGCACAAGAGGGAGGCAUGCAGACCAUCACCUUAUGUCUGCUGUAGGAAGAGACCCCUGGCCAUGCAGGACUGAACCUGCGAUUGCAGCUGAUCUUGCUCUGUCUCUUCUCUGUGUGAGUAAAGUGUUGUUCCAUCUAGUGCCUGCAUGAGUCGUGUCUUUCGUGGCGACACCUAUAAACCAUGGAGUGGGCUGGCAUCCUGGUUCUGCUGCUCCUGUUGGCGGGCAUUGUUGUGCUGUUUGCCAUCCUCCACACAUUGCGACUUCUCUACCCUGCCCGAGUCUCGGCAUCUUCACAUGUGCCAUGAGGAUGGUAAUGCUUUACAGAACUGAAGGCUAACUGAAGCAGUGUACGUAAAGAGCCCAGCAUGGCCCUGGAGUGCAGGGUAGUUAUUAUUAUCCUCAGCAUCACCAGUAUUAUUACCAAUGCAUGGUAGUUAUUAUUAUCCUCAGCAUCACCAGUAUUAUUACUAAUGCCUAGGACUUGUCCACAAAAAUCACUAGGAAAAUUUCCUUCUGUGAACUAGACUCACGUCAAGAUGCUGCCUGCUUCCAUGAGGCUUGUAGUGACAUCCAUGUACAAGUUCAAAGACCCUCUGAGCCAAUUUCCACUUCUCUGCAUGUCUCUGGGAACCUAGGGGACCAGGAUUACUAUAAAAGCAGGUAAGGCCAGUAUUAAAAACCAGGUUCACUCCAGUCCCCUUCACAUCAAUGCAACAAGACACAACUCUGUAAAACACCGUGCAACUCUGUCUCCGUUAACAAGUAUCAACCCCUUCAAAGGAUACCUACCCAUGACUGUCUAAGUCUGCGGCACUUUAGAUCUUGAUAUAAAUCACGUGCGUUC